UCAGUUGGUUAGAGCGCACCCCUGAUAAGGGUGAGGUCUCUGGUUCAAAUCCAG
rnacentral:tRNA from 1 species